rnacentral:rRNA from 1 species
CCCUUAGAUGUCCGGGGCCGCACGCGCGCUACACUGAAGGAAUCAGCGUGGCUUUCUCCCUGACCCGAAAGGGUUGGGAAACCCGUUGAAUCUCCUUCGUGAUAGGGAUUGGGGCUUGAAAUUGUUCCCCAUGAACGAGGAAUUCCCAGUAAGCGCGAGUCAUAAGCUCGCGUUGAUUACGUCCCUGCCCUUGGUACACACCGCCCGUCGCUACUACCGAUUGAACGGUUUAGUGAGGGCCUCGGAUUGGUCUCGGCCCGCUCUUUACCGGGCGGCGCCGUUGGUCGAGAAGACGCUCGAACUUGAUCGUUUAGAGGAAGUAAAAGUCGUAACA